CCCGUAGAGAGCUCAUCUGAGAUCUUAUCCCCUGCCCAGGCUUCAGUAGGUCUAGCCCUGAAAGAUGUCCUAGGACUCAGAAGUCCAGAAAAACAUACAACCCUGAAGAGAGAAGACAUCCCAAUGGAAGGGUCAUCCUGAGACACUAGGGCCCAGGAACCACAGAGCUCUGAGAGGAAGCCUCCUGGGUGGUUGCAGCUCCCAGGGGAGAGAGUCCCCAGCUGAGCUCGGGAGCUCAGGAGCUCAGCCCUGACCCAUCGCUUCCCUUCUUCCCUUCAUUGCUUCUUGGCUUCUUCUGAAGAGAGAGCUACCAGGCAGCAAAUCCCAUAAAAGAUUUAUCAGGAAGGUCUGGGGUGUAGAGGGACAAAUCCAGGAGUGGCUGCCUCUGCUCCUGAAAGGAAGUGGACAGCAGGGAACUGAGCAGACACAGCCUUUAUAGAGGGUUUCUUAGGGGUGGAACUUUCCAGGGCAGAGAUAUCCAGGCUGAGGAUUAGCAGGAUUUCACAUUCUUAGCUUGGAAGAGGUCAGGGAUUGGUGGGUUUUCCUGUUCAGAUUUUUUUUUUCACCUAAAAUAUCGUAAUCUGGGGAGGGUCCUGUUGUGGGGCUGGAGAUGACCUUUGUGACAGUUACAGAGGCUUGAAACACUAUUAUGACAGUUAGUGGGGUCUGGAGGUUGGGCCUGGCUGCUGGAGCUCCUCAGGAGCCUGGACACUUUCCAGCCCUGGGGGUUUACAAAGUUGACUAAGUAUAAACUUUUACAAAGGGAGUUCCCUGAUGCUUGAGUGGCAUAAGCAGCCAUCCCAGGGUCUCAUUAUGUAGUCCUGGCUGUCCUGGAGCUCACUCUGUAGACCAGGCUGGCCUUGAACUCUUGAUCUGCCUGCCUCUCCUUCCUGAGUGCUGGGAUUUUCUUGACUAAUGACUCAUGCAGGAGGGCCCAGUCCAUUGUGGGUUGUGCUACCUCUGGGAAGGUAGUCAUGGGCUCUAUAAAAAGCAGGCUGAGCAUGCUAUACGGAGCAAGCCAGUAAGCAGCACCCCUCCAUGGCCACUCCUUCAGCCCCAUUGUUGAGUUUCUGCUUUGGUUUGACUGUAAUCUGUAAGUCUUUCCUCCCUGAGUUGUUUUCGGUCACAGUGUUUUAUCAUAGGAAUAGAAACCAGACCAGGGCAGUGUGUAUAUCCUAUAUGUACAAAUGCGUGUAGGUGAAUAUGCCUCUGCAUGUUCAGAGGGGCCAGUGGAGACCACUGGGUGCAAUACCCUUCUGUCCUUCUACCACCCCCUGCUUUAUUCCUCUGAGGCAGGGGCUUGAAUCUAGGCUGGAAGCUAGCAAACCCCAGUAUUCCUGUCUUUCCCUCCCACGGAGCUGAGAUGAAGGUAUGUUUGGCCACACCCCAGUUUUAAAGAUCUGAGUUCUGGGAACUUAAACUUGGGUCCUUAAGGUUCCCCAGCAAAUACUCUCCACCCCUGAGUUCUCGCUCCAGCCCCUAGCCUUGUGUCAUUAGCUGCAGGCUCCCGAGUGCUGAGCUCCAUGAGGAACACAUACUAAGGUCCAGGGUGUCUAUCUGGAUUUCUUGCAAUGGCCACCUAGCUGGAGGCUGCACACUGUCCUUCGACAUCAAUCCUGCUAUCCAGAGAUUGUUUUGGAGCUUCUUGCCCACUCUGUCCCUUCCUUACAACUUAGGACAAGGACAGGACCAUGAUGGGGACGGUGCCUGAAGGAAUGGGGACAAAGUGAAGAGAGUGGGGGGGGGAAGUCCCUGGGCAACUGUAUGGAAUGGUUAUCUGGGAUGCUCACUGCUACUAGAGAGAUAUGUGACGUUCCACAAUAAACCUUUUGUUUG
ensembl:lncRNA